rnacentral:rRNA from 1 species
UACAGAGGGGCGAGCGUUGUUCGGAAUUACUGGGCGUAAAGGGCGCGUAGGCGGCCUGCUAUGUCGAACGUGAAAUCCCCGGGCUCAACCCAGGAACUGCGUCCGAUACUGGCAGGCUUGAAUCCGGGAGAGGGAUGUGGAAUUCCAGGUGUAGCGGUGAAAUGCGUAGAGUAUCGGGAGGAACACCUGUGGCGAAAGCGGCGCACUGGACCACAACUGACGCUGAGGCGCGAAAGCUAGGGAGCAA